rnacentral:rRNA from 1 species
UACGGGGGGAGCAAGCGUUGUUCGGAUUUACUGGGCGUAAAGGGCGCGUAGGCGGCGCAACAAGUCACUUGUGAAAUCUCCGGGCUUAACCCGGAGCGGUCAAGUGAUACUGUCGUGCUAGAGUGCGAAAGAGGGUCGCGGAAUUCCCGGGUGUAGAGGUGAAAUUCGUAGAUAUCGGGAGGAACACCGGUGGCGAAGGCGGGUCUCUGGGCAAUAACUGACGCUGGAGGAGCGGAAAGCGUGGGGAGCGAACAGG